rnacentral:ncRNA from 1 species
AUCUUCAGGGCAGGGUGAAAUUCCCUACCGGUGGUUAUAGCCCACGAGCCGUUAUGGCAUGAUUCGGUGAAAUUCCGAAGCCGACAGUAAAGUCUGGAUGAAAGAAGAUA